CCGGGAAGGUGGGGUACCCGAUCCGCUUCCCCUCCGUCAGGUGCGGCGACAACCACGUGGGCCUGGUGAUCUACAAAGAACCCGUGGACCAGAGCAGCAAGUACGACGCCUACUGCUACCGGCUCAAAGAUGUUUCCUGCGUGUGUCCCGCCGGUUACAUUGGAAACGGAGAUUUCUGUAACGGCGUGCUGACCAGCGUCCUCGCGUCCUACAGCAACUUCUCCAUCUUUUACAAGUGUUUGCUGGACUACAGCGGCUGGUCCUCAGAAGGAAAACAGCUGGUCGACUUUAUGUCUCACAGGAAGUCCGAGGUCACGCUGUUUGUUCCUCACAACGCCGGCUUCGGUCCGAACCAGGUGACCUUGGAUAAUUGCUUCCUAAUCACUAAGAGCGCGUUUUGGUUACUGCAUCUCCUGUCGACUGGCUACAUUGCCAGAAUAUUUUAUGUUACUUAACUUGAUGAUCAACAAAUAAACAAUUACGGCAGGAUAAAAAACGGGUAUAAUUAAGAGAAAAUGCUGCAAAGUCAUUUCUGACAUUGACCCGAAAGCGACAAAGAAGGUUGAGGAAUUAUGACUCAACUCUUUGUAAACACACUCGCCUCCAUGAAACCCGACCUUUCAAACAGAGAUGUGCCCGAAGCACUUUGAGAAUAUUUAACCUCAAACAAACAAAACACAUUAUAGUGUCUUCGUGCAUAUAUUAUAUAUACUGUAUAUUUCAAUGAGAUAUUUUCCAAAGGUUGUUCCUUCACUGCAGUGUAAUGUGCUUAGAUGACGGAGCCUGGAGAACAAGUGCAGAUAAACUCUUCAUAGAUGAGACAUCAGGACCCCUGAUCACAACCACACCAACAAUGUGCUCACACAUUUACAUUCGUACUAACAGGCAAACACAGACGCAUCUGGUACAACUGGUCCGCCUAAUGUUAGAAAAUACCCCAAGGCAGAGGGUCCCCGUAAGAUCCGCGAUAAAAGGCCACAAAGAGGGAGAAGAUCAAUGUUCAAAUAUGAGAC
ensembl:lncRNA